AUACUGUUUCAUAAGGCUUUAUUUUACAGAAACAUUGAAAUAAUUCGAGAUGCCGUUCAAUUAUGGAGCUUUGAUUGUGUCAGUCCUUCAUCUCUUCCGAAAGUAGCUGUACCUAUGGUCCUAAAGAAAGCAUGAAAAUGCGAUCAUUUCAUCGGGAAUGGAGACAGUGUGCUGUUGCUGAAGAAAGGAUUUGUGGCAAUGAACUGAUUGCCCAUUAAAUGAGAAGGAAUUGCAGUGAAUUUUGGUGCUACUGAAACAACCGAUUGUUUUGAUGUCUUCACCUUGCAACAUUCUGCAGUUAAUGAGAAUAGAAUGCAAUUGGAAAUUGUUUGGAAGCCACUGAAACGACAAAUUGUCAGCUGUGAUAUCUCUUCUAGAUUUGGUUUGCUCUUCAUACUGGUAAAUUUUAGAACACUACUUUCUACAGUUAAUUAAGAUCGUUCAAGAAAUGAGAUGGAAUUAAAGUUCAGUUUGAUAAUACUGAAACAACCAGUGUACAUGGGUGUGGUCUUUCAUGAACUAUCUUCAUGAUGUGCUGUUUUCGUCUUCGCCUUGCAACAUUGUGCAGUUAAUUUUCAACCGAUGGGUGAGAAAAACUGGAUAAUUCCACUCGAAUAACAAAUUUUCUGCAGUGGUAUUCCUCCUGGAUUGGGAUUGUUUUUCACACCUGCAAUUUUUG